UACAGAGGUCUCAAGCGUUGUUCGGAUUCAUUGGGCGUAAAGGGUGCGUAGGCGGCGCGGUAAGUCGGGUGUGAAAUCUCGGAGCUUAACUCCGAAACUGCAUUCGAUACUGCCGUGCUUGAGGACUGGAGAGGAGACUGGAAUUUACGGUGUAGCGGUGAAAUGCGUAGAUAUCGGGAGGAACACCAGUGGCGAAGGCGAGUCCCUGGACAAUUCCUGACGCUGAGGCACGAAAGCCAGGGGAGCAAACAGG
rnacentral:rRNA from 1 species